rnacentral:rRNA from 1 species
GUAGGUGGCAAGCGUUGUCCGGAAUUAUUGGGCGUAAAGCGCGCGCAGGUGGUUCUUUAAGUCUGAUGUGAAAGCCCCCGGGCUCAACCGGGGAGGGUCAUUGGAAACUGGGGAACUUGAGUGCAGGAGAGGAAAGUGGAAUUCCACGUGUGGCGGUGAAAUGCGUAGAUAUGUGGAGGAACACCAGUGGCGAAGGCGACUUUCUGGCCUGUAACUGACACUGAGGCGCGAAAGCGUGGGGAGCAAACAGGAUUAGAUACCCUGGUAGUCCACGCCGUAAACGAUGAGUGCUAAGUGUUGGGGGGUUUCCGCCCCUCAGUGCUGCAGCUAACGCAUUAAGCACUCCGCCUGGGGAGUACGGUCGCAAAGACUG